rnacentral:rRNA from 1 species
AGAGUUUGAUCCUGGCUCAGGACGAACGCUGGCGGCGUGCCUAAUACAUGCAAGUCGAGCGAGCUUGCCUAGUUUCAUUUAGUGCUUGCACUAAAUGAAACUAGAUACAAGCGAGCGGCGGACGGGUGAGUAACACGUGGGUAACCUGCCCAAGAGACUGGGAUAACACCUGGAAACAGAUGCUAAUACCGGAUAACAACACUAGACGCAUGUCUAGAGUUUGAAAGAUGGUUCUGCUAUCACUCUUGGAUGGACCUGCGGUGCAUUAGCUAGUUGGUAAGGUAACGGCUUACCAAGGCAAUGAUGCAUAGCCGAGUUGAGAGACUGAUCGGCCACAUUGGGACUGAGACACGGCCCAAACUCCUACGGGAGGCAGCAGUAGGGAAUCUUCCACAAUGGACGAAAGUCUGAUGGAGCAACGCCGCGUGAGUGAAGAAGGGUUUCGGCUCGUAAAGCUCUGUUGGUAGUGAAGAAAGAUAGAGGUAGUAACUGGCCUUUAUUUGACGGUAAUUACUUAGAAAGUCACGGCUAACUACGUGCCAGCAGCCGCGGUAAUACGUAGGUGGCAAGCGUUGUCCGGAUUUAUUGGGCGUAAAGCGAGUGCAGGCGGUUCAAUAAGUCUGAUGUGAAAGCCUUCGGCUCAACCGGAGAAUUGCAUCAGAAACUGUUGAACUUGAGUGCAGAAGAGGAGAGUGGAACUCCAUGUGUAGCGGUGGAAUGCGUAGAUAUAUGGAAGAACACCAGUGGCGAAGGCGGCUCUCUGGUCUGCAACUGACGCUGAGGCUCGAAAGCAUGGGUAGCGAACAGGAUUAGAUACCCUGGUAGUCCAUGCCGUAAACGAUGAGUGCUAAGUGUUGGGAGGUUUCCGCCUCUCAGUGCUGCAGCUAACGCAUUAAGCACUCCGCCUGGGGAGUACGACCGCAAGGUUGAAACUCAAAGGAAUUGACGGGGGCCCGCACAAGCGGUGGAGCAUGUGGUUUAAUUUGAAGCAACGCGGAGACCCUUACCAAGUCUUGACAUCCUGCUGACCGUCCCUUAGCCGGGGCUUUCCUUCGGGACAGCAGAGACAGGUGGUGCAUGGUUGUCGUCAGCUCGUGUCGUGAGAUGUUGGGUUAAGUCCCGCAACGAGCGCAACCCUUAUCCUCAGUAGCCAGCAUUACGGAUGGGAACUCUGGGGAGACUGCCGGAGACAAUCCGGAGGAAGGUGGGGAUGACGUCAAAUCAUCAUGCCCCUUAUGACUUGGGCUACACACGUGCUACAAUGGUGGUAACAAAGUGAAGCGACCCCGUGAGGGUGAGCCAACCACAGAAAAGCCAUCUCAGUUCGGAUUGUAGUCUGCAACCCGACUACAUGAAGCUGGAAUCGCUAGUAAUCGCAGAUCAGAAUGCUGCGGUGAAUACGUUCCCGGGUCUUGCACACACCGCCCGUCA